CCUAUACGUGUAUGGUUUUUAUGUAAAAUUCAAGCAAUGUCCAAUUUUUUGAUUUAGCUGAAAUUUUUUGAUGUUCAUUUCUCUAAGUAGUGAUCUCAUCAUUUUCCUGUUCAUUGGUGAUUUCCUCAAGAACUGAAACUUGUACUUGAGUUGGACCUGUGAGAUAUAAUAUUAAUAACUGAGACAUUUCAAUAUGUGUGUGUGAUGAACAACUACUGGCCAGUGCUCACUAUAUUACUGUCCUCUUGCAUUAAAAAUAAACCUGCAGUCUGUAUGUGUGAUUUCAGUCAUACUCAUGCUUGGUUUUAAUCUGGCUCCCCUUGGUUCCAUGGCAGCACAGAUGAAAAUCAUGCAGAUCUUUCUAAUUGAUGCGGCAGUUAGAAAAUCUGAUGCUUUUGGCAUAUUUUUAAUCUCAGCACUCCCAAAUAGCAGGUCACAAUAUUCUGAUCCCUCCCAUAACAUGUGGAACGUUGAAGUGUAUCCCAUUAUCCUUGUUUUAGUGCUGACUGUUGUGAGUCAAGCCAGAUAUGUAAAGGUUGAUGACUGCAGCAGCCCCAGAACAUUGAUGCUUCUGAUUUUUGCAGAAAUCUAGUUUAUGUUGGACCAGGGCUGCCUGACAAAACCACUGCACUCCACCUGGGUAAGGAGUGGGUGUCAUUGUCGGGAUGCCACUCCUUAUCCCGAAGCGGCUGUUCCCAGGAGGGGACGCGCUGAGCCGUGUGCGAGCACCUGGAUCCCGGAGAUGCCUGGAGUUGGGAAAGCACCGCAGGACACAGCGCCCGAAGUCAGGGCCGCGCAUUGUAAACCGCUCUGGGAAUAAAGGCACUGCAUAAAUACACUGUCUUUUAGAUGAGUGUCAUUGCUUUAACAGGAAAUACAUUAAAGAGGUUUCCGUAGCCUCUUCAGCGUGCAAAAUACAAAGCAAAACAAAACACCCAAACAAAACAAAACAGAACGCCCAAACAAAACAAAAUACCCCGACUAGCCUUCGAAGAAAAGAAAAAGAAAAAGAAAAGAAAAAGAGCCACCUUCAAGACCGAGUGCUGUGCUGCGGUGACUCCGCUCGCCCCUCUCGCUCCCCGAGGCCGCGCUGCGGGAGCCGCGCUGCCCGCGGGCUCGGCCGCUCGGGACGGCUCAGCCCUGCGCCGUUUACCCUGCCUCGGGCGGGAUCCCGGCUCACCCCGGCUCACCCCGGCCGCCGCAGGUGCCCGGCGCCGCUCGCUGCCGCCCUGCCGGGGCCGGGCUCAGCCCUGCCCGGGCUCAAGCGCCCUCCCUCCGCAGGUGCGCGGGGCCGGGCAGGGGCGGCCGGCGGGGCCGCUUCGCCGGGAGGCGCGGAGCCCGCGGCGCUGCCCAGGACGGCCGGCGCUGCCGAGCCGGGGAGGCGGUGAGGGGGGUCCCGGGCGGUCCGUGCCGGGCAUGAGGAAAGCGCUGUGCUCUGUGGGGGCAGCGGGCGGGCCGGCGGGUCCCCGGCAGCGUGCGAGGGUGACGGCGGCCGCCGAGGCGUGGAAGGGCCGCCCUGUCCGGCUGGAGCCGCCUGAGGCGGGGGAUGUCGGCGGAGCGGGGCUGGAGGGAUCUCGGAGGGACCUCUCCGAACCCCAAACACAAAAAUGCCCCCUCGGGACCCCGGCAGAGCCAAGCGGCAGGCCCUGAAUUAGGACUGCUCAGUGCCAAGGCCAGGAAGCCGUGCCUGGAUUUCACUGUGACGGCAGCACCUGCUAGGUCUGCCUCAGGGCUGAUGGCUGUGUUCAGACCCCAGCAAUAAACUCUGAAGAGUGCCUGACUUGGAAAGUAUUUAAUGGUCAGUGGAAAAAAAUGAGGAAGAGGAGGGUGUGGCUGCUGCUGGGAGGCUCUGGCCCUGCAGAGGGUCCCUGGCUUGUGGAGAUGUGGUCCUGCAUCGACACAAACGAAGACUUGUUUUAGGAAAUGUAUGUUGAUCUUCUGAAGCUGAAUCCUCAGGCAUUUGUGGCCCGUCCUUGCAGCCUGGUCCUGCUCUGGCCCUUGGAAGGGCAUCGCUCGCUGCGGAGCUGCUGCAGCACGCCCGAGGUCUGAGCCCGUGGAUUCGGCGUGGAGAGCCUUCAUCUCCAGCAGCCAGGUGGAGCCCAUGGAUUCAGCAUGGAGAGCCGUCAUCUCCAGCAGCCAGGUGGAGCCCAUGGAUUCGGCGUGGAGAACCCUCAUCUCCAGCAGCCAGGUGGAGCAGACCCCUGGGAAAAGGGAGUGCGGUGGGUGACAGUGAGAUUCACCAGUGCCUCUUCCACAGCUGCAUAUCAGCCUGGAUGUAGUCACCCUGUCAGGAGUGUAAAAUAUACAGCAGAAAUUAUUUUAAUGCUGGAAAAGCUCUUACUCAUCUGAACCAUCAUUCAAAAUGCACAGUGAAGGUCGCCAAGCAGAAGUUUUCCAUCCCACUGUCUGCAGGACUCCUGCAGGUCUUCUGAUGCUUAAGCAUAUCUGUCUCAGGCUGCCCCUAAAAAGAAAAAGAAGUAAUGUGGCAAAAUGAACUCAGAACACACAAAGAGGAACCACUGGAGACUAAUCUGUGAGGUAUUCAGGUGUUGCUGUUGAGCAGAAAUUGGAAGGAAACUGAGGGUCAAUAGAUUGAGAAAAUGGUGCUGCCCAUCAUUGCAGAAAACCACGAACCUCACCACUGAGGGACAGGAGUGACCAGCGGUGACCAGCUUUGCUGCCUUAGGAGCAUCCCCAUUAGCUGUACUUUUCAAUAAGGAAUGGUGACUCCAGCACCACCCCAAGCAGCAUGUUCCAAUGCUUGACAGUCCUUUCCAUGAAGAAAUUUUUCCUGUUUUCCAACCUGAAUCUCCCCUGGUACAACUUGAUGCUGUUUCUUCUUGUCCUGUCACUUCUUACUUGAGAGAAGAGACCGACCCCUACUUGGCUACUAGCAAGCCCCAUAAAAACUCCUUUAAUCCUUAAAGAAUAAUGAGCUUCAUCUUGGGCAAGGUGAAAAAACAUUUUCACUGAUAACAUGCAAAUCAGAAUCUGUUAACCAUUGGCUGUCCCAGAUAUGAUGUCAAAGCCAACAAGGGAGACUUGAUGUAGUAUGACUCAAAACCAGAAGUUUUUUGGAACAGAAAGAAUGACUUACUGGGGAACCAAGUUAAAUACUAAAGAAGUGAAGAUUGGUCAUCUCUGCAGAGAAAAAGCUAUUGAUGCACCUUCCUGACAGGUCUUUCUCAGAAGAAACAGCUGCAGGAUGUGGAAUCAGUUGUGUGGAAUUCCUGUUGGCAAGACCUUUGACCCUCAACUUCUGCUAGAUCCAGCUGAGUGAUCAAAGAGAGAAUUUUUGCAGAUCCCUGCAGUAGUGAUGCUGAAAGCCAGGACAGAUGGUGUCUGUCCCCCUGCAGUGUGACCAAGUGACCUCAGGGUGAAACUUGCUGAGUGAAACAGCUCUCCUUGAUCCGAGUGGGGCUGAUGGAUGCAGCAUUUAUUGUGCUCUUUAAUUAACUAGCAAAAGGUUAGUUCGCUGGUUAAGGUAGGGUGUUCGUUUUAAAAGUUUGCUUAUUUGUUAAAGCAGUGUUUACAUUAGAAUACAGACUGAUAUCUCAGUUAUUCCCACUUCUUUAUAUCCACUCUGAAUAGGAAGUGCUGUUGUCUAUCAAACCAGGUGGCAGGGAAUAACAACCUCCUCAAACUCAAGCAGAAGUUUGAGGCUGCCAAAGCUGAUGCUGUAGUGGCAGUUCUGCUAAUCCCCCUAACCAAGGUCUGUGUGGUACAGUGAGGUGUGUUUAAUUUGGUCAGUGAGGUGUGUUUAAUUUGGUACAGUGAGGUGUGUUUAAUUUGUUUAAUUCAGAGCUGGGUUACUGCUCAGUUAGGAGUAUUGCUGAUAGGCCACAAUUCCUCACAGUCUUGACAAAUUCAUUGCUCAGUCUUUGCAGUUUACUAUGCAGAACUUGGGAAAUUCAUGUACGUAACCUCAGCUCUUCCCCAUUAGGAUAUUGGAGAAGUAUCUGGAAGCGUGUUAAACAAUCCCUCUAAGUCAGCAUCCAUUCUAAGUCAUAGUGAUGCCUUUCCCAAAGUGACAAACUGGUUUGAUAAGGUACAGUCAUGUAGGAGCUGGGAGUACACAAGAGCAGUUAUUAAAAAUGAAUGCUGUAUCCUCUUUCCCUUGUGUAUCUUGUCACUGACAUGACUUCACAAGUUGCAAAUCUAUUAAACAUUUCAAAUGUGGAACUGGAGCUCAUUAAGCAGAACGUUGAAUGGUAUAUAGCAAACUGUUUCAAAUUCAAGACUGUUAACAUUUGUCUCCAGAGUUUUUUGUCUUCUAGGUUGUCACUGAGCAAUGCAGAUGUCUGGGAAUACAGCCUGUGCUUCCUGUGAUCAGAAUGUGACUGUCCUUUGGGGUGAGGUAGUAGGUUGUAUAGUUUUAGGGCUAUGCCCUGCCUGUCAGAUAACUAUACAAUCUACUGUCUUUCCUGAAGUGGCUGUGAUGUCAGCGCUGGAUGUCUCCAAAAGACAACACAGAUAUUUUUCAACUGUACCAUUCUCUGGCUUUGUCUACAUGUUUGGUUCUUGUACACAAAUGUCCUCAGAGUGUUUAGAUUCCUGUAUUUCCCAUUCAGGCUCAAAAGCCAUUUCCUUCUGGCAUUUUUGGCGAGCAGGUGGGGUGUGAGUGCCAGGACACAGAGGUACAGCCCGGUCCGCAGUGGAUUUGCUCACGCGCGGCUGGCUGGGACUGCCAUGGGAGUGGCCACUUGGAAACAGCUGAUCCAUCUCUCCCUCGUUUUCUGGCAUCUCUGUUCAUAUUAACCAUAAAAUGGUACUUUUGAUUCAGCAGCUGUUUAAAUCCACUUGGUGUAGGCUGUUUGAGAAACUCCAAAGGGAUGAGCUGGACAAAACCCUGAGAGGAUGUCUUCCCAGUCAGUCGUGUUCUGCCCUGGAAAUGGUAAAUUCUUGAACCCUAAGUAAGAGGUCUCUUCAGUCAGUUUUGGGCACUGAUUUAACUCACUUUUUUAUUACAUAUUGCUAGUUUGGGAGGGACAAUGUUUGCCACUGCAGUUCUCCUGUCUCUGCAGUCCCUCCACCAGUUCUGUCUGACUCCCAGGUGGAGCUGUGGGGAAGGGCUGAGGUCACACAUGGCCUUUCUAAGGCUAAGAAAUGUGUGGGCUGGAGAGUGAGAAGGUAAUUUACUGACACAUGGUGAAAUGUUUCCUUCAGAAGAUGCACGUGAUGCUCUAACAGGAUGAGGUAGUAGGUUGUGUGGUUUCAGGGUAGUGAUUUUGCCCCAAUCAGGAGAUAACUAUACAACCUACUGCCUUCCCUGAUAGGCAGCAUAACAACCUCAGUGUCUUAAUUCACAGAGAAACGAGAUAAAAUACACUCCUGAGAUAUACUUCUGAGACCAGCAAAGUAAGUCUAGAUACAAUUAUUGCUAUCCUGUCCGUAAUAGCUCUAAAUUUAGAUUUUAAGUGUAGAUUUUUGAUAACUGCCUGCAAAAUAAUUACCAUUUUUAAAGUCUUUAUCAUGAAAAAAUUGAAUUAAAGAAGUUUUAUUUAUUUCAAA